UUAUAUUUGUUCUUCUUGUCUGUGUUUUAGACACAAGUUAAGUUUGAACAGAAAAUUGGACGCCAUAGCUGGCCGUGAACUAUUUGACUAUAUCAUGAGAUUGAAACAGACUGAGACCAAGGAUGGACGUACUUAUGAAAUUGGACCAGAAGAAUUUGUUUGUGCCAGUAAAAUUGUCUUAGCCCUUCCAGCGAGUUCACU
rnacentral:sRNA from 1 species